rnacentral:scRNA from 1 species
AAUGGAAAAUAAAUAAAUGAACAGAGAACAA